GACGAACCGUGCGAACGUUAUUCGGAAUCACUGGGCUUAAAGCGCGUGUAGGCGGUCCGACACGUCCGUUGUUGAAAUCCUCCAGCUCAACUGGAGAAUUGGCAUGGAUACGAUCGGGCUUGAGGGUGGUAGGGGAAUCGGGAACUUCCGGUGGAGCGGUGAAAUGCGUUGAGAUCGGAAGGAACGCCUGUGGCGAAAGCGCGGUUCUGGACCAUACCUGACGCUGAGACGCGAAAGCCAGGGGAGCGAACGGG
rnacentral:rRNA from 1 species